GACGAACGCUGGCGGCGUGCUUAACACAUGCAAGUCGAACGGAAAGGCCCUUCGGGGUGCUCGAGUGGCGAACGGGUGAGAAACACGUGGGUGAUCUGCCCUGCACGUUGGGAUAAGCCUGGGGAACUGGGUCUAAUACCGAAUAGGACCACGCGCUUCAUGGCGUGUGGUGGAAAGCUGUUGCGGUGUGGGAUGGGCCCGCGGCCUAUCAGCUUGUUGGUGGGGUAAUGGCCUACCAAGGCGACGACGGGUAGCCGGCCUGAGAGGGUGACCGGCCACACUGGGACUGAGGUACGGACCAGACUCCUACGGGAGGCAGCAGUGGGGAGUAUUGCACAAUGGGCGCAAGCCUGAUGCAGCGACGCCGCGUGAGGGAUGACGGCCUUCGGGUUGUAAACCUCUUUCAAUAGGGACGAAGCGCAAGUGACGGUACCUAUAGAAGAAGCACCGGCCAACUACGUG
rnacentral:rRNA from 1 species